rnacentral:rRNA from 1 species
UACAGAGGGGGCAAGCGUUGUUCGGAAUUACUGGGCGUAAAGGGCGCGUAGGCGGCCUUCUAAGUCGAACGUGAAAUCCCCGGGCUCAACCCGGGAACUGCGUCCGAUACUGGAAGGCUUGAAUCCGGGAGAGGGAUGCGGAAUUCCAGGUGUAGCGGUGAAAUGCGUAGAUAUCUGGAGGAACAUCAGUGGCGAAAGCGACUUCCUGGACCAAUACUGACGCUCAUGUGCGAAAGCGUGGGGAGCAAACAGG